rnacentral:rRNA from 1 species
AUGUCACAAAAAUGCAUCUUCCAGGAAAACCUAAGCCUUGACCUGUACAAAAGAAAAGACAACGGACUUGAAUCUUCUUCAAUAAGAAUAAAACACAUCAAACCAAAAAUCAAAAGAAAGCAUACAAAGAGAACUCACAUCAUCGAAGAAGUGGGUAACAAAUGUCUUGUCGACACUGUUGAAUCCACUGAAAUACAACUCGUUUGCCAAUCUGAUUCUUAUGUUAUCAACAUCGGCUGCGCCAAACAUAUUGCCAAUUGGGGUCCUAGGAGUCCGGUGCUUCAGAUACAUGAUAGUGAAAACACCACAAUCCUCCCUUAA